AUGCUGGUUUCCGAGGUGGUUCUCCCAGUCAAUGAGGUGGUAUGGAGCAGCAAACCAUGGACGAUUUGGAGGCUGCUUAGGCAUGAAGCAGUGAAACAUGAUAACAAUUUUCGCCGACCUUUGUUGCAGCUCCUCUGCCAUGCUUUUUUCUCCGAAGAGGAGCAGCAGGUAAGGAGCACAACCCUUCAUGCAUCAUGCUCCAUGGUGCAGCAGCCAGAACAGGCGACCACAGCUAAGCCAGGGUUACGGACGAUGGCAGGAGCGAGCAGUGGCAAGUGUUUUCUCAUUUCCAAUAUGUUUAAUGUUCAGUUCAUACGAACGUCCUGGACCACCUUUGGAAAAACCACAGCCUUCACUACCCCAGCAAAGCAUGGAUGUGCCAUAGAAAUGGUGUCAUCCAUCAGGACCUUAAACUAG
rnacentral:rRNA from 1 species